GGUCUGUUCGUCUAGGGGUUAGGACUCCAGGCUUUCGUCCUGGUAACAGGGGUUCGAUUCCCUUACGGACUAC
rnacentral:tRNA from 1 species